AAAUUCAAAUUUUGUCAUAAAUUUGUAAAAUAAAAUUGAAAAUGUAGAGGACAUUUGAAGAAUAUGGUCCUGCAAGAUCCCAAUACAAAUAAAAAAGACAAACAAAUAAAAGGAAUAGCCUUGUACGGCUAACACACGGAAAACUAUGAGACUUCCAAACCCUGAACUGAGCUCAAUGCGUGCUUUAUGCCUGUACCUCAAAAAAGAAGGGUAAAGUUGGCGAAAUCUUGUUUUCCAAUUUGGGCGAUGUUGGCUGUAAACAUGUUUCAAAAGAUUUCUUCAAGGUUUUAAAUUUUCUAUGGAUACGGAUAAUUUAAUGUUUUCCCAUUCUAUGUGUAUUCAUUGAAUAACAUCGACUAUAUAAUUUUAAAUGGUUUAA